ACCUUUGCGCAGUGGCAGUAUCGUAGCCUAUGAGGUUUAUCCGAGGCGUGAUUAUUGCUGGUUGAAAACUUAACCCAAUACCCCGCCGAGACUGCUUGAAAUAUUAGCGGGCUUGGCAAUUUUUGACAGUCUCAUCCGGGA